rnacentral:rRNA from 1 species
CUGGGCGUAAAGCGUGCGCAGGCGGUGCGUUAAGACAGCUGUGAAAUCCCCGGGCUUAACCUGGGAAUGGCGGUUGUUACUGGCGCGCUGGAGUGUGGCAGAGGGAGGUGGAAUUCCACGUGUAGCAGUGAAAUGCGUAGAGAUGUGGAGGAACACCAAUGGCGAAGGCAGCCUCCUGGGCCAACACUGACGCUCAUGCACGAAAGCGUGGGGAGCAAACAGGAUUAGAUACCCUGGUAGUCCACGCCCUAAACGAUGUCAACUGGUUGUUGGGGAAGGAAACUUCCUUAGUAACGAAGCUAACGCGUGAAGUUGACCGCCUGGGGAGUACGGCCGCAAGGUUAAAACUCAAAGGAAUUGACGGGGACCCGCACAAGCGGUGGAUGAUGUGGUUUAAUUCGAUGCAACGCGAAAAACCUUACCUACCCUUGACAUGCCAGGAAUUCCAUAGAGAUAUGGAAGUGCUCGAAAGAGAGCCUGGGCACAGGUGCUGCAUGGCCGUCGUCAGCUCGUGUCGUGAGAUGUUGGGUUAAGUCCCGCAACGAGCGCAACCCUUGUCAUUAGUUGCUACGAAAGGGCACUCUAAUGAGACUGCCGGUGACAAACCGGAGGAAGGUGGGGAUGACGUCAGGUCCUCAUGGCCCUUAUGGGUAGGGCUACACACGUCAUACAAUGGCCGGUACAGAGGGCUGCCAACCCGCGAGGGGGAGCUAAUCCCAGAAAACCGGUCGUAGUCCGGAUUGCAGUCUGCAACUCGACUGCAUGAAGUCGGAAUCGCUAGUAAUCGCGGAUCAGCUUGCCGCGGUGAAUACGUUCCCGGGUCUUGUACACACCGCCCGUCACACCAUGGGAGCGGGUUCUGCCAGAAGUAGUUAGCCUAACCGCAAGGGGGGCGAU